AUUGAACGCUGGCGGCAUGCCUUACGCAUGCAAGUCGAACGGUAACAGGUCUUCAGAUGCUGACGAGUGGCGAACGGGUGAGUAAUACAUCGGAACGUGCCUAGUAGUGGGGGAUAACUACUCGAAAGAGUGGCUAAUACCGCAUGAGAUCUACGGAUGAAAGCAGGGGAUCGCAAGACCUUGUGCUACUAGAGCGGCCGAUGGCAGAUUAGGUAGUUGGUGGGAUAAAAGCUUACCAAGCCGACGAUCUGUAGCUGGUCUGAGAGGACGAUCAGCCACACUGGGACUGAGACACGGCCCAGACUCCUACGGGAGGCAGCAGCGGGGAAUUUUGGACAAUGGGCGAAAGCCUGAUCCAGCAAUGCCGCGUGCAGGAUGAAGGCCUUCGGGUUGUAAACUGCUUUUGUACGGAACGAAAAGCCCCGGGUUAAUACCCUGGGGUCAUGACGGUACCGUAAGAAUAAGCACCGGCUAACUACGUGCCAGCCGCCGCCGUAA
rnacentral:rRNA from 1 species